rnacentral:rRNA from 1 species
GGCCGCGGGAAUCCCUUUAAAGCCUAACACAUGCAAGUCGAGCGGAGAGAGAAUCUUGCUUCUCUUGAGAGCGGCGGACGGGUGAGUAAUGCCUAGGAAUCUGCCUGGUAGUGGGGGAUAACGUUCGGAAACGGACGCUAAUACCGCAUACGUCCUACGGGAGAAAGCAGGGGACCUUCGGGCCUUGCGCUAUCAGAUGAGCCUAGGUCGGAUUAGCUAGUUGGUGAGGUAAUGGCUCACCAAGGCUACGAUCCGUAACUGGUCUGAGAGGAUGAUCAGUCACACUGGAACUGAGACACGGUCCAGACUCCUACGGGAGGCAGCAGUGGGGAAUAUUGGACAAUGGGCGAAAGCCUGAUCCAGCCAUGCCGCGUGUGUGAAGAAGGUCUUCGGAUUGUAAAGCACUUUAAGUUGGGAGGAAGGGCAUUAACCUAAUACGUUAGUGUUUUGACGUUACCGACAGAAUAAGCACCGGCUAACUCUGUGCCAGCAGCCGCGGUAAUACAGAGGGUGCAAGCGUUAAUCGGAAUUACUGGGCGUAAAGCGCGCGUAGGUGGUUUGUUAAGUUGGAUGUGAAAUCCCCGGGCUCAACCUGCGAACUGCAUUCAAAACUGACUGACUAGAGUAUGGUAGAGGGUGGUGGAAUUUCCUGU